CGCACAGUGGUUUAGUGGUUAGCACGUACACCUCACACCACCAGGGUUGGGCGUUCGAUUGUCCUGUGUGUGU